rnacentral:rRNA from 1 species
GACGAACGCUGGCGGCGUGCUUAACACAUGCAAGUCGAACGGAAAGGCCCUGCUUUUGUGGGGUGCUCGAGUGGCGAACGGGUGAGUAACACGUGAGUAACCUGCCCUUGACUUUGGGAUAACUUCAGGAAACUGGGGCUAAUACCGGAUAGGAGCUCCUGCUGCAUGGUGGGGGUUGGAAAGUUUCGGCGGUUGGGGAUGGACUCGCGGCUUAUCAGCUUGUUGGGGGGGUAGUGGCUUACCAAGGCUUUGACGGGUAGCCGGCCUGAGAGGGUGACCGGCCACAUUGGGACUGAGAUACGGCCCAGACUCCUACGGGAGGCAGCGGUGGGGAUUAUUGCACAAUGGGCGGAAGCCUGAGGCGGCAACGCCGGGUGCGGGAUGACGGCCUUCGGGUUGAAAACCGCUUUCGCCUGUGACGAAGCGGGAGUGACGGUAAUGGGUAAAGAAGCACCGGCUAACUACGUG